rnacentral:lncRNA from 1 species
CUCCUUUGUGCGGCUGCGCAGUCCGCUCCCUCAACAAUGGCUUCGUCUGUGGUGAACGUGGAGUGGCAGACUUCUCUGGUCAUCCAUUACCUGUUUGAGGACGAAGACGAUGCUAUAUGUCGCCAGUUCGACUCCCAGUUUGAAACUGACGGACCAAAAAGUACCGAUGAUGGUUUUGAUCCAGUGCAGAUUGCUGACAAACUGAGGCGUAUUGGUGAUGCCCUGAAUGAAAACAUUAAAUUCAGAGAAGCCAUGACUGACCUGAAACAAGCAGCUGCACAAGAGACCUUCGAUGAGGGGUUCAGUCACUGUGUGGAGGCUGUGUGCGAGUCUCAUAUGCAGUCGACACUGACAGCUGAAGUGGCUCCAGAGGUUCACCUGAUCCAGGCCUCAGUGGCCUUUGGGCUCUAUGUUAAGAAGUCUUCACCAGAGCUGAAGAGGAAAGUUCAGAGUGCUGUUACUGCAUUCCUCAACAGGCGUGUUGGCACUUGGAUUGCCAAGCAGGGUGGAUGGGAUAAAUUGCCAGGGGUAUGAUUCAGGUGGAAAUUCUCAUUUGUCUGUGAUGACCUUCGAAAGCCACACAGUGGUUGCUGCUCAGGUUCUUUUAAAAUGCACACACACACACACACACACACACACACGUGUCUAAAUCACAACAAAAUCAGUGAUUAAAAAACAUGCUCACACUCCAUUCUCUGUAUUCCAGCACUGGCCUUACAAUGUACAGAUGCCAGCAGACCUUUAAUAAAACCACAAUUCAGCAGGCA